UCUUGAAAGAGAGAUGUGCCCUUCGGGGAGCUCGGAGACAGGUGCUGCAUGGCUGUCGUCAGCUCGUGUCGUGAGAUGUUGGGUUAAGUCCCGCAACGAGCGCAACCCUUAUCUUUAGUUACCAGCAUUCAGUUGGGGACUCUAAAGAUACUGCCCCGGUUAACGGG
rnacentral:rRNA from 1 species